rnacentral:rRNA from 1 species
UACGUAGGGGGCUAGCGUUGUCCGGAAUCAUUGGGCGUAAAGCGCGUGUAGGCGGUCCGGUAAGUCCGCUGUGAAAGUCGGGGGCUCAACCCUCGAAUGCCGGUGGAUACUGUCGGGCUAGAGUGCGGAAGAGGCGAGUGGAAUUCCUGGUGUAGCGGUGAAAUGCGCAGAUAUCAGGAGGAACACCUAUUGCGAAGGCAGCUCGCUGGGACGGUACUGACGCUGAGGCGCGAAAGCGUGGGGAGCGAACAGG